GCCAACCCAUGCUCUGCUAAUGGGGUAGGAUCCGACGCCUCGCUGGAAGGCUAACAUAGGCUCUCCUACUCAACUCCCAGACCGGCACGUCCACGUCGUGCAGAGCGGUCACAUGCGUUGCCAAGGGGUGCAAGGGCUGGUUGGUCCCUUUUCUUCUCUGGUCAAGAAGAAGCUGGUAACGCAUGGCCAAGCCGGAGGGA
rnacentral:ribozyme from 1 species